rnacentral:rRNA from 1 species
GUGCCAGCCGCCGCGGUAAUACAGAGGUCUCAAGCGUUGUUCGGAAUCACUGGGCGUAAAGGGUGCGUAGGUGGCGUGGAAAGUCAGAUGUGAAAUCCGGGGGCUCAACCUCCGAAUAGCAUCCGAUACUCCCAUGCUAGAGAACUGGAGGGGGAUCUGGAAUUCUCGGUGUAGCAGUGAAAUGCGUAGAUAUCGAGAGGAACACUAGUGGCGAAGGCGAGAUCCUGGACAGUAUCUGACACUGAUGCACGAAGGUCAGGGGAGCAAACGGGAUUAGAAACCCUUGUAGUCC